rnacentral:pre_miRNA from 1 species
UUUGUACUCCCUCCGUCCCAAAAUUCUUGUCUUAAAUUUGUCUAAAUACGGAUGUAUCUAGUUAUAUUUUAGUGUUAGAUACAUCCGUAUCUAAACAAAUGUAAGACAAGAAUUUUGGGAUGGAGGGAAUACUAC